rnacentral:lncRNA from 1 species
GGUACCAUCCCUCUCGGCCGUCGCAUCAUCUCCCAGCAGUUCCUGGGCGCUCUGCCCCCUGAGAUCCAGGCCUGGGUGCGGGGCCAGAGGCCAGGCAGCCCAGAGGAGGCUGCUGUUCUGGUCGAGGGCCUGCAGCAUGACCCUGGGCAGCUGCUCAGCUGGAUUACAGCGCACGUCCUGAAGCGGGCAGUGCUUCCAGCAGCACAGAAGACAGAGAAAUCUGUGAGGAGCUCCCACCCUUCAGAGCCAGUGGAGCCCCUCAGGGCAGCCUCUGGGGAGGGGUCCAACGAUGCGCAGAUGGAGGGGGGUGCCCAUCCCAGCUGCAGUGUGAAGGAGGAGCCUGCUGGCUAUGGGCAGGAGACCGCACCCUCCAGCCCCCUAAACCCAGCCACGUCCCAUGAGAGGUGCCUCGAACGACAGGAACCGACCUCUGCGCCUUUCCACCCGUCUAGGAUUCAGCAGCACACAGUGUUCAGGGCCCAUCCAGGGCCUGUGUGCAGCCAGGACCAGGAGCC